rnacentral:rRNA from 1 species
UACAGAGGUCUCAAGCGUUGUUCGGAUUCAUUGGGCGUAAAGGGUGCGUAGGUGGCGCCGUAAGUCAGGUGUGAAAUUUCGGAGCUUAACUCCGAAACUGCAUUUGAUACUGCGGUGCUUGAGGACUGGAGAGGAGACUGGAAUUUACGGUGUAGCAGUGAAAUGCGUAGAGAUCGUAAGGAAGACCAGUGGCGAAGGCGGGUCUCUGGACAGUUCCUGACACUGAGGCACGGAAGGCCAGGGGGAGCAAACGGG